rnacentral:rRNA from 1 species
CCUACGGGCGGCAGCAGUGAGGAAUAUUGGUCAAUGGACGAGAGUCUGAACCAGCCAAGUAGCGUGAAGGAUGACUGCCCUAUGGGUUGUAAACUUCUUUUAUAUGGGAAUAAAAUGUUCCACGUGUGGGAUUUUGUAUGUACCAUAUGAAUAAGGAUCGGCUAACUCCGUGCCAGCAGCCGCGGUAAUACGGAGGAUCCGAGCGUUAUCCGGAUUUAUUGGGUUUAAAGGGAGCGUAGGUGGAUUGUUAAGUCAGUUGUGAAAGUUUGCGGCUCAACCGUAAGAUUGCAGUUGAAACUGGCAGUCUUGAGUACAGGAGAGGUGGGCGGAAUUCGUGGUGUAGCGGUGAAAUGCUUAGAUAUCACGAAGAACUCCGAUUGCGAAGGCAGUUCACUGGACUGCAACUGACACUGAGGCUCGAAAGUGUGGGUAUCAAACAGGAUUAGAUACCCUGGUAGUC